GUGCCACCGGUCACCAGAGGAGCGCCUCCUCCCUCCGAGCACCCUAGCAACCGGGGUUUGGGACGAUUUGGCCGGAAAACGCAGAUCGAAGCAAAAACCUCCUCCGGCUGCAGUUUGAUACUUUUGCCGAUUCCCGGCGAUUCCGGCCACCUCCGGUCCCCAUCUUUCUGUCGAAGUUAUGAAGACGUGAGGAGGAUUUCCUCGAGGAGGGUUUGGAUCGACGGCAGGCUUAGCCGUACUUAAUCACAGUGCUGUGGACCGGCAUAGGAGCGGAGGCUAGUACCACCUUUGUCAUCCAUUCUCAGUAGGUUAUUGAUUAACCUACUUAUUGUAUUAUAUUCCGAGUCUGUUCCUUAGAUUGCUCUGAAUACUUGUUGAGAGUGGAUUUAUACAUUUGUAUAAUUAUGUGUGUAAGAGAGUGGUUUAUUUUGGGAGAUUGUUGAACGAUUGAGUUACGGGGUUGUAUUUGUUUAAGAUGUUUUGGUUGUGAAGUUCGAUGUUUUUAUUUGGAGAAUUUUUGGAUUGUUGCUAGG
rnacentral:lncRNA from 1 species